AAGAAACAUUAGAAAGAAAAAGGAAGGAAAACGGUAUAAAGAGAGAUCAAUUACCCACCCUUAAAUAGCUAGAUUGGGGGGGGAGGGGGGUGGAAAAGAAAGCUGUGGAGGUGUGCCCCAGCACGGCUGCUUUGAAAGGUUUAUCAUCUAUCCGUUUGGUUUAUGGAGAAAAAGAAAAUGGUAACUCAGCGCCAUUUUUUUGGAAACCUCUGUGCCAUGAGAGCCAAGUGGAGGAAGAAGCGAAUGCGCAGGCUGAAGCGCAAAAGAAGAAAGAUGAGGCAGAGGUCCAAGUAAACCGCUAGCUUGUUGCACCGUGGAGGCCACAGGAGCAGAAACAUGGAAUGCCAGACGCUGGGGAUGCUGGUACAAGUUGUGGGACUGCAUGCUACUGUCUAGAACUUGUCUCAAUGGAUCUAGAACUUCAUCGCCCUCUGAUCGCCGAUCACCUCUGAGACCCACCUUGCUCAUAAACAAAAUGCCCAUGUUGGUCCUCUGCCCUGGACCUGUGACAUUCUGGACUAUUUCUGUGUUUAUUUGUGGCCGAGUGUAACAACCAUAUAAUAAAUCACCUCUUCCGCUGUUUUA
rnacentral:lncRNA from 1 species